rnacentral:misc_RNA from 1 species
AGCCUCCAUGCCCUUUGAGCCCCGGCUGGGUCUCUGAGCGGCGUCUUGGGCCCCAAUUCUCGCGGGGAUCGGGCGGCGCCCUCCUCGUGUGGCCUUUAAGAAAUUGACAUCUGUCUGUGGGCGUGAGAUCCAUUAGGACGCCUGAGCCCCUUGGACGGAGAACCCGCUUGUGUGCGCUGCUGCGCUGAAA